rnacentral:rRNA from 1 species
AGAGUUUGAUCCUGGCUCAGAUUGAACGCUGGCGGCACGCUUAACACAUGCAAGUCGAACGGCAGCACAAGGGGGUAACCCCCGGGUGGCGAGUGGCGAACGGGUGAGUAACGCGUAGGGAUCUGCCUGUUAGAGGGGGAUAAGCCGGGGAAACUCGGUCUAAUACCGCAUACGCUCUACGGAGGAAAGGAUGGGAUCGCAAGACCAUUCACUAACAGAUGAACCUGCGUUAGAUUAGCUAGUUGGUAGGGUAAAGGCCUACCAAGGCGACGAUCUAUAGCUGGUCUGAGAGGAUGACCAGCCACACUGGAACUGAGAGACGGACCAGACUCCUACGGGAGGCAGCAGUGGGGAAUAUUGGACAAUGGGGGCAACCCUGAUCCAGCGAUGCCGCGUGUGUGAAGAAGGCCUGAGGGUUGUAAAGCACUUUAGUUGGGGAGGAAGAAUCUAGAUAUGAAUAAGAUUUAGGAAGUGACGUUACCCAAAGAAUAAGCGCCGGCUAACUCUGUGCCAGCAGCCGCGGUA